AUUGAACGCUGGCGGCAUGCCUUACACAUGCAAGUCGAACGGCAGCACGGGAGCAAUCCUGGUGGCGAGUGGCGAACGGGUGAGUAAUAUAUCGGAACGUGCCCAGUCGUGGGGAUAACGUAGCGAAAGCUACGCUAAUACCGCAUACGAUCUAUGGAUGAAAGCGGGGGAUCGCAAGACCUCGCGCGAUUGGAGCGGCCGAUAUCAGAUUAGGUAGUUGGUGAGGUAAAGGCUCACCAAGCCGACGAUCUGUAGCUGGUCUGAGAGGACGACCGA
rnacentral:rRNA from 1 species